GGGGGCGCCUUCGGGCCGGACGCGCCCCGACCCCCGCCCCAGGCCCUCGAACCCGAUCCUCUCCUGGCUGAGGCGCGCGGCUGGUCUCAAGACCCGGGACUAGCUCCGCUCGGCCUGCGGAAAGGACCCGGAUCCGCGCGCGACCCAGCGCCCCUGCGGAGCCUGGCCUCGACAGUCCUGCUCGAGGGCCCGGGCUGGCACGCCCCGCACCCUCCGCGUCCGCGUGGCCAGGCCGGGCAGCUCUGCGCUGACCCAGGAUUUCCCAGCUGGAGUCGGGGCACCGCCUUUCAGGGCUGCCAGGCAGGCGAGGCAAUGGCCGAAACUGACACCCCAACACCGCUCCUGCCAAGCACGGCACCAGCAUUGAUGAGUGUUCCCAGCUGACCUGUGACCCUCCUCAACUCCUGUCUUGCCAUCCUAAUCCCAGUCCAUCUAGAUGUUAAAAUCCCAUUCCUGAUGUGAUGUGCUCAGCUUUGAAGACUCAAAGGAGCAAAGGUCCAGAGAGCAGUGAAGCCCAGGAGACACUUGAGGCUUCGGAGGGAUGCGGUACUCCAAGUUAGAUGGAACCAAAAGCUGAACUGAGUCAGCCUGGUUCUGGGUAUGGAAGACCCACCUGGAGGAUUGUUGCCAACAGCAUAAAAAGAGAACUGCAGGGGAAGAUCGUUUGCUAUUGAUUUUCUCAGAGAAGCUUGCCACAGCUGGUUUCCCUGAUAUGAACUCGGCUGUUCUCCUCAUCAGAGGAGCUCGGGUCCUUGCUGUCACUGAGGAUGGCUGCUCUUCUCAUCAGAGGAGCUCUGGUCUUCGCCUUGAGCAUCGCUUCCUGGCUCCAGUGCAGAUCUCUCAGCCUGGUGACACAAUUCCUUCACCCUGCUGGCACAGGUUUUCUAGCUUCUACCACUGGCCUUUGGGCUUUCCCAGGGCAGAGCCUCAGUACAGAUUUGCAUGAGACACUGCUGUGGGCUCUAGGCCUCCAGGUGGACUCGAGGAGGACACUGCCUUGGACUCUAGGCCUUCAGCUGGACUUGUCUGGGACAUUGCUUUGGGAUCCAGGCCCUUGGCUGGAUUCUUUGGGUCCCUGGUGCUCAGCUAGAUCUCAUGUACUCCUCUGCAUUUGACUUUUUGGGUGAAAAUUAUAAAAUAAUCCCGUGAAUUAUGUGUCCUGUAUUAAAUUUAUUCCCUUGCAAACCCUGACUACAAUAUUUAAGGUGUACAAUGUGAUGUUUGAAUGUAUGUAUACUUUGUGAAAUAACUGCUCUAGUAAAAAUAAAUUAACAUACUCAAAAUCUC
rnacentral:lncRNA from 1 species